rnacentral:rRNA from 1 species
AUUGAACGCUGGCGGCAUGCCUUACACAUGCAAGUCGAACGGCAGCGCGGACUUCGGUCUGGCGGCGAGUGGCGAACGGUGAGUAAUACAUCGGAACGUACCCUGUUGUGGGGGAUAACUAGUCGAAAGAUUAGCUAAUUCCGCAUACGACCUGAGGGUGAAAGUGGGGGACCGCAAGGCCUCACGCAGCAGGAGCGGCCGAUGUCUGAUUAGCUAGUUGGUGGGGUAAAGGCCCACCAAGGCGACGAUCAGUAGCUGGUCUGAGAGGACGAUCAGCCCCACUGGGACUGGGACACGGCCCAGACUCCUACGGGAGGCAGCAGUGGGGAAUUUUGGACAAUGGGGGCAACCCUGAUCCAGCAAUGCCGCGUGUGUGAAGAAGGCCUUCGGGUUGUAAAGCACUUUUGUCCGGAAAGAAAUCGCGCUGGUUAAUACCUGGCGUGGAUGACGGUACCGGAAGAAUAAGCACCGGCUAACUACGUGCCAGCCGCCGCCGUAA